AGUAUCACUGAUAUUUGGAAUAAUUUGAAUGGGCUCUUUUCCUGGAAACCAGAGACUUGGGUUGUCUUGGAAUAUUUGUUUGCCAUAUGAUGCUGAAAACCAGAAGUUGAACUAUGCUAUCAGAGAACUUGAGUAAGAAAAUGGCAGGAAACAGGAGUCCCCCUGAGAGCUGUCUGAAGUGGAAUGACGAGCAACAGGCUUUCUGAGCAGAGUCCUGUGCUCUGGAUCAGAUCCUGGAGAAGGAAGGGUAAAGCCAGUACAGUACUUGUUUUGAAGGAGAUCAUGGCUAUGCAAACAGAUAGCUGUCCCAUGUGUGAGGAACAAACCGUAAACUCUGCUCAGGGCACACAUCCCAUGCAGAUUUCUCCAGAGAACUCAACAGGCCUGGGGCAACACUUCCUUUAGAAACACUGUAAUAUGAAAUCUCAGCAGUUGAAUCUUCACCUAAGCCAAUAUCCUGUCAGUGUCUAUACACUGUGUGAAGAUUGUUCAAUGAGGAAAUCAAAGCUGCAUGUGAGAACAAACUCACAUAUUCUCCUAGAACCACACAAAGCUCACAGCACAUUCUUGGCUGCCUCUGGUCUUGGAAAGACAUGGACAAGGAAGGUGCUCAAUCAUUGAUGGAUUCAACUUCAAGUACUCUGGCUCUGGAGUCUUUGCUUUGUGCCAGACAUGAUGAUGACAGGCUGGGCCCUUGGGGUGCAAAGAAGACUUGGCCUACUCAGUAUAGAAUUCCCAAACUGCUUGAAAUUGGUUUACCCAUCAUGCCUUCCAGAGAAGUUCAAAUGUACUCCCAUAAAUUUUUGGUGUCCUAAAGAUGGUGUAAUAAGAAUAAAUGCAAUCUUCCUUCUAUGGCUUACAACUCUCA